UUCACACAAAAAUCAGUUCCAUUCUCUAGUCUUCAGAAGUUCUGCAUCUCAACCAAGGAGGAGAAGAAAAAGAAGCCGUGAGCAAGUCUAGCCACCAUCAUCCACUCUGUGCUGUAUCCCUUGAGGAGCCUUGCUUUCAAGAUCUUCAAAGCUUCAACGUCUACAAGUUCUUCAUUCAUUCCUUCAGGUGUACCCUCAAUCCCCGGCUUGAAUGAUCCCUACUUAUUCUAUACUGACAACUAUAUUUUACAAGGUUAAAUUGUGUGCUAUUUUUAGCAUAUCAUGCCUCGCUCCACCAACAUCUCUUCUUUCUUACCUGGUCGUAUUUAUCUUGGAGUUACCUAAAGAAGUUGAGUGACUAUCUUUGUUUGCAUUAAUAGUUAUUUUUGGAUUAGAUCUUUUUUUUUAAUCAGAAUCUUUGAUGUAGUUUGUUGACUUAUUAAUAAAAUUUGAGUUUUCUUUCCUCAA